rnacentral:snoRNA from 1 species
ACACAACUAAAUAAAGUAUUUGUAAGAAAUAAAAUGUAGGUUUGCACUAGGAUGCGGGAGAAAACAAAUCCCUGCGCUCUCUGUCUGUCUAUGUGGCGGGUCCAGAUUGAAUGAGGGAUUACAUAG